rnacentral:rRNA from 1 species
UCNUCUGGCUUAACUGGGGGCUUGCGGUGGGUACGGGCCGGCUNGAGUGCGGUAGGGGAGACUGGAACUCCUGGUGUAGCGGUGGAAUGCGCAGAUAUCAGGAAGAACACCGGUGGCGAAGGCGGGUCUUUGGGCCGUUACUGACGCUGAGGAGCGAAAGCGUGGGGAGCGAACAGGAUUAGAUACCCUGGUAGUCCACGCCGUAAACGUUGGGCACUAGGUGUGGGGGGCCUUUUCCGGNUCUUCCGCGCCGUAGCUAACGCAUUAAGUGCCCCGCCUGGGGAGUACGGCCGCAAGGCUAAAACUCAAAGGAAUUGACGGGGGCCCGCACAAGCGGCGGAGCAUGCGGAUUAAUUCGAUGCAACGCGAAGAACCUUACCAAGGCUUGACAUGUGCCGGUCGGCUCCGGAGACGGGGCUUCCUCCUUGUGGGGCCGGUUCACAGGUGGUGCAUGGUUGUCGUCAGCUCGUGUCGUGAGAUGUUGGGUUAAGUCCCGCAACGAGCGCAACCCUUGUCCCGUGUUGCCAGCACGUUGUGGUGGGGACUCGCGGGAGACUGCCGGGGUCAACUCGGAGGAAGGUGGGGAUGACGUCAAAUCAUCAUGCCCCUUAUGUCUUGGGCUUCACGCAUGCUACAAUGGCCGGUACAGAGGGCUGCGAUACCGUGAGGUGGAGCGAAUCCCUUAAAGCCGGUCUCAGUUCGGAUCGGUGUCCGCAACUCGACACCGUGAAGUUGGAGUCGCUAGUAAUCGCAGAUCAGCAACGCUGCGGUGAAUACGUUCUCGGGCCUUGUACACACCGCCCGUCACGUCAUGAAAGUCGGCAACACCCGA